GUGGGGAAUAUUGGGCAAUGGGCGAAAGCCUGACCCAGCAACGCCGCGUGAAGGAAGAAGGUCUUCGGAUCGUAAACUUCUAUCCUUGGUGAAGAUAAUGACGGUAGCCGAGAAGGAAGCCCCGGCUAACUACGUGCCAGCAGCCGCGGUAAUACGUAGGGGGCAAGCGUUGUCCGGAAUGAUUGGGCGUAAAGGGCGCGUAGGCGGCCUGGUAAGUCUGGAGUGAAAGUCCUGCUUUUAAGGUGGGAAUUGCUUUGGAUACUGUCGGGCUUGAGUGCAGGAGAGGUAAGGGGAAUUCCCGGUGUAGCGGUGAAAUGCGUAGAGAUCGGGAGGAACACCAGUGGCGAAGGCGACUUACUGGACUGUAACUGACGCUGAGGCGCGAAAGUGUGGGGAGCAAACAGGAUUAGAAACCCUGGUAGUCC
rnacentral:rRNA from 1 species